rnacentral:rRNA from 1 species
AAACCGUUCAGGGGUAAACCUGAGAAACCCAAAAGAUCGAAUAGGGAGAUUCAUCGUCAGCGGCGCUGGCUUCGCAGUGGCUCGUGAUGUCGGGGACCUUGGUCUCGCGACACGCGGUCGCUGCGCUUACGUCUGGCGUCGUCGUCGUGCACUUCUCCCUUAGUAGGACGUCGCGACCCGUCGGGUGUCGGUCUACGGCCCAGGUGGAUGCCUAUUCCGUCGCUUCGGCGCGCGGAGUAGACCCCUGGUCGCCCGGCCGGCUGCUCGGCGGUACUCGCACGGUAUCGGGCCGCACGAUUCGAACUGCGUCGGGCCCGCCGCAAGCGCGGCCAGUGUUCCCGGGAUUCUACGGACUCUAGCGCCGUUCUCGGGCCUGGCCAGCUGUUGGCUGGCGGUGUCCUCUGACUGGCCAAAUAAAGAUACCGGUCGGCGACGCUACUGCUUUGGGUACUUUCAGGA